rnacentral:misc_RNA from 1 species
UGCUCGUUUGACUCUGCUCGACUUGUAAUGUUCUCAUUUUCAGAUUAUUGACUUACAUUCUGGUAUCUUUGGUCAUAUUAGGAAUAUAUUUCUUACCUUCCCUCCCACUUCUCAUGUUGAUGUUCCACUUUAAAUUAUUUGCUCAACAUUUCCACUCUACCAUCUCUCCAACUAUUUUCUUGAACUCUAUGGGCGCAAAAGAAUAACUGAAGUUAUCUGCUGAAUAGUUACUUAGGAAAAGGUAAAACAUUAAAAAGGUUCCAAAUUUAGGGAGUAGGACGUAGGUUGAUCUGAUUAGGCAAAUACAUACAAGUUGCAUUCAUCUGAUUGGGAAUAGAGUCUGUUAGUUCACUUGAUUCCAUACCCUUGUUUUUUAUUGCCUUUUCCUGAAUUAAUUUCAUGUUGGUCUAUGGCUAUGGGUUAUGUCCUCCUUUUCUUUGUUUUUAAUACAAGUUAUGGGCUUAUGGCUCAAAGGAAUUUUGUUAUAAAAGAGUGUUUAGUUCGAUAAAUGAACUUUUAUUAAAUGUUGAUAGGGAAUUGAUUGGACUCUUCCUAUCCACCUCCCUCUCUCUCUUGCUGAUACCAGUAAUUAAUGGCCACAUUUGUGAAAGCUGUAUGAGCAUUCUAGUACCAAGUUGUUUGACCACCUGCUGCAUUUUUUGGAUGAAUAGAACCAGAAAGAUUCUGGACUUUGUAUCAAUAACCCAGAGAUAAUGCUGACAUAUGUAGGGGGAUUAUAGACCAUAUAGUACUCUUACUACUGUUAUGCAAGAGAUAUGAGGAACAAUAAAUUUUUGCUUAGUUGGCUUCCUUGUUUUGUAGAAGGACCUCUUAAGAAUUUGUAUCACGAUAUGAUUGCCUUCUUUUUUGAGAUCACGAUCUCUUUUAGCAAUUGUCAAAACAAUUUCAAUGAUUGUUUAUUGCUUAAGCCAGAGUAUUAAAUUAAUUAGUGGCCAUUUCAUUAAUUGGAAAAUGUUUGAGGUUCACAAGUUCUCAUAGACACAUACGUACUUUCUCACAAAUUGUUGUCAAUACAUGCAUAGUGUAGUUAAUUAUGUGAGUGGUUUAAAAAUUAUUAUUUUUAGAUUUUUUUCCAUGAAUGAAUUCUAUAUUUAUCUGGUUCUUCCUUUAGUUCUUCCUCUUCAACAGAUAAUCACAUUUUACUUGCUGUUCUGAUGGUUUCUUUUUAUGUCCCUAAUGGACAGCUGCAUACAUUUCCAGAGGGAAAAGUUUUGCAAGAGGAUGCA